AACGAGGAAUUCCUAGUAAGCGCAGGUCAUCAGCCUGCGUUGAUUAAGUCCCUGCCCUUUGUACACACCGCCCGUCGCUCCUACCGAUUUCGAGUGGUCCGGUGAACCCUUUGGACCGGAAGCGUCUUGAACGCUGCUGGAAAGUCGAGUAAACCACAUCACUUAGAGGAAGGAAAAGUCGUAACAAGGUUUCC
rnacentral:rRNA from 1 species